UAUUUUACCUUAAAGUAGGAUAUCAGAUAGAAAAAACUAUUAGACGUAGUAUGUAUAAAUGCGCAUUUAAAAAAUUUAGCACUUUUUUGGUCAUAAUUCCGCACAAUGGGUUUUUAUCACAAGUGAAGGAGUCUGAUAGUAUUUUCGUAAUUUGUUUAUAUUCAUGAGAUCCUAUGAGGAUAUCUUGAAGGCAAGGGCAACCUACAAAAUAUGGUUGAAUAUAUAAAAUUUACAUUCAAUAGUCUUAUUUAAAUUAACUUGAUACUUCUUUUUUUGGAAUAAUAAAAUUGGUAAGUUUCAUACUUAUACUAUAUUUAAAAAAAAUGACGAUUUUUUUAAUAUUUAUUUAUCAUUAUUAUUAUUAUAUUAUUGCGAAAGGCGCAUUGAUACAUAAGAAUCAACUAUUGAUGCAUUUUUUUUGUUAAGGUUAAAAAAAACAAUUUACUAUAACUUUUUGUUUAUACAAAAUUUUAUUGUCCUCAUAAUCCUGAGAUUAGUCCAUAAUUAUUUUUACAUCAUUUAUUGAAUUUGAAAUUAACAGCCAAAUUCCAAAAAAAUUGUAGCUCUUAAUUUUACCAAAUUUUUUUUCUUUUAUUUUUUAUAGCUCAGAUUGAGUCAAGAAUUUGUGAUAUUAAUAAAAUAUAUAAUUUUCGUUUCUCUAAUGGUAAAAACAUGACUGGAAGCUGGUAAAUUAUUAAAAACCAAAAAUCGUGAAAUAGAUUACUUGUUACAUGGUCUAAAAAUGCACUACAAAGAGGUAUCAUGGAUAAGAUAUAUCAUCAUUAUACCACUUUUUACAACUAUUUCAUAAAAUAAAUAGUAGGAAAUUUUUAUGACAAGAAUAAAGAGAGCCAUAAAAUUAUAGGAAUACAAAAAGGAGAAAAUAAAAAUAUAAUUUUUUAGAGUUAGAGAAUAUUCAAUUUUUAAAUGACUUUAUUUUAAAUUUUCUCUGAAUUUGUGAAUGUCCUUGUUUGAUUAAACUUUUCCUUCAUUCUUUUGCCCUUACUUUAUACAAUUAUCUAUAUAUAUCAUCCUUGAUUGAAUAUUUUUUUGGGGCAUUUCCUUUUUUCAAAAUAUUUUAUUUUUUAGUCAAAGUUAAUUUUUUUUAAUGAGAAAGAAAAUUCAAUAAAAAUUCUAU